AGAAAACACUAGGAAAACUAAGUACAAGACGUACAGUAGAAGAGCUGACAGAGGAGCGAGCUGAAACAUGAAUAAUUCUGACUCAUGAUGCUGCGACUGGAAACAAGCUGGAUGUGAAGGCUGAGGAUGCGUUAGCAUGAAAGCAGCUGUUUCUGGUGGAACAUGGCUUUGCUGAUGUGAAGAAUCCGGGUGGAGAAGAAGGAGCCUUUUUAGUAAUUUCGGCUGAGUGCGGAGCCUUAAUUUAAGGCACUUUAGCGUGGUCUCGGUGAGGCGGGGAUAAUGGGGGAAAUUAUAGCCUCCAACACGCUGUUUGCACUUCCUGAAAAUCAAAUUGCUCUCAGUGCAAAGGAACAAACCUGCAGAGCUUAAUGGAGGCAAUUUCCUGUUCUGGUUUCUCACUUCUUAGAGUGCACUUUUUAAAGUUACACGGCRGAUUAUUAACGUUACCUGAAGGUUUUGAUCUCCAACACUUGCUGUAAAUUAUUAACGUGGCUGUUUAUGUGCUCASAUGUGAUGAAAUAUUUAAAAGAGAGUGAAAACAUGUAGAUCCACCGCUUGUUUUAUUUCAUUUGACUGAAUUUAUAUUAAUAAAAGUUCAAAUUAAAAUUAGGAGCUGGUUGAGUAGAAAUGAUCAGUUUUAUUUCUUUUUGUUUGCUAAUUGUUUUAGUUGCUCACACCUGUUCACAGUGUCAUUAACUCAGCUUCUCCAUCUUCUUAUCAUUCUCAGRCUGUUCCAUUUUAUUUAUUGAUAACCUGACGAACUCUUCAAAGGAUCAAACCGUCUCUUUAAUCAGCCACAAUCACAGUUGAGUUUGAACAAUAAAGCGAAGUCUUUGCUCUUUAAAUAUCUGACACUUCAGAGGAGUUUGUUUUGUUUGGAUGAGAGGAACUCUGAUCCAGAAACACUCUAAUCAGGUCUGAGUCUGCAUCAAGUUUACAAUAAUCAGCUCUUCUCUUUGUCUCAGGGAGCUCAUCAAACUGCUCUUUUCCUUCCAGAUGAUUGUAAAUGAAACUGAAUUAGCGACAAUCGUCUUCCAACCUAAUUUUAUGAGCUGUUUAAARUGAAGAGGCUCAAAUUUGCAGCAUGCUGGCUUCAUUCACGUUUACAAGGAUGUUUAAUCAGAGGCAGCCUUUCAGCUGCUGCUCACUGCAUGGGCUUCUGACUUAACCUGUCGGCUGCUUUUAGCUACUAAUCGGCUACUUUUUACUUUUAUUUUCAUACUUUAGCCAGCCUUAUGUUACUGCUUUUACUUAUAGUUAGUGUUUUGCUACCUUUUGCUUUCUAGCUAUAUUUUGACACUUUUUGCUUUGAAAUAGCAUUUUGCUAUGUUUAGUUAGCCUUUGGCUUCUAUUCUCAUUUAGCUAGCCUUUUAAUAUUUUAUACUUAGCAUUUUAAUACUUGUAGCUAACCUUUUGUUAUUUAUUUGCUUAUAGCUAUUUUUUGCUUUUAGCUAGAUUUUGAUAUGCUUUGAUUUGAGAUAGCAUUUUUCCAUGUUUAGUUAGUCUCUGACAGGGGCGGAUCUAGGAUUUUUCUGAGUKAGGGGCCAUCAAGGGGCCACAAUAUUCAUAGAGAUGCCA